rnacentral:rRNA from 1 species
CAGUAGCCACGGUAAUACGAAGGGGGCUAGCGUUGCUCGGAAUUACUGGGCGUAAAGGGAGCGUAGGCGGACAUUUAAGUCAGGGGUGAAAUCCCGGGGCUCAACCUCGGAAUUGCCUUUGAUACUGGGUGUCUUGAGUAUGAGAGAGGUAUGUGGAACUCCGAGUGUAGAGGUGAAAUUCGUAGAUAUUCGGAAGAACACCAGUGGCGAAGGCGACAUACUGGCUCAUUACUGACGCUGAGGCUCGAAAGCGUGGGGAGCAAACAGGAUUAGAUACCCCCGUAGUCCCUGUCUCUUAUAC